CAUUCUGAAAGGACACAAACACUAGAUACUUUCACCCAUACACAGUUAUUUCAAGCAUGAAAAGUCUCAUAGUUUUCAUAUAUAUCUCCGUCUUUAUUUCACUUUCAAGUUGCUAUUAUCCACAACACGGUGGAUUUGGCGGUGGCGGAUUUAAUCAAUUUGGCGGUGGAUUUGGACAAUUUGGCGGUGGAUUUGGACAAUUUGGUGGUGGCGGAUUUGGCGGUCAAUUCGGUGGUGGAAUUUCUCCAUUCCACGACGGAUAUUACGAUGAUGCAGAUCAUGUACAUGUACAUUAUCACGAGAAUUCUGGAGGAUUUGGAAACAACUUCCUUGGUGGUAUCAAUCAACGAGACCUAGUAUCAGGCGGGCUUGGAUUGCUAAUUGGUGGAGCACUCCAGAGACGAAGGUCCACAACAGGCUGAAGGAACAGAUAAUUAACAACAGAAGAGGUUGUCCAGGUCACAGUUUUUACAGCACCAAACAGCUAUGAUACAUCAUAGAAAUAAAAACAACACCUGUAUAAAACCUUGUGUUCUGGUUUUUAUCAUGCAGUUAGUAACAAUGGUCCCAAAAAUGAGUAAUAAAAGAAAUAAAUCCAC